AUUUUCAUGGAGUUGAUGGAUCGGAAGCCUCUAUUUCCUGGUAGAGAUCAUGUGCAUCAACUGCGUUUGCUCAUGGAGCUAAUUGGGACUCCAUCAGAGGCUGAGUUGGGGUUUUUGAAUGAAAAUGCAAAGAAAUACAUUCGACAACUUCCUCCUUAUCAUCGUCAAUCUUUCAACGAGAAGUUUCCAAAUGUCCACCCUGCAGCUAUUGAUCUUGUCGAAAAGAUGUUAACAUUUGAUCCCAGACUGAGGAUUACAGUUGAAGAUGCGCUAGCUCAUCCCUACCUAAACUCACUUCAUGAUAUCAGUGAUGAGCCAGUCUGCAUGACUCCCUUCAGCUUUGAUUUUGAGCGGCAUGCGAUGACUGAAGAACUGAUGAAGGAGCUGAUUUAUAGGGAGGCUCUUGCAUUUAACCCUGAGUAUCAGCAUCAAUGACAUAAAUCACUAAUGAUAUCAAUUCAUUGUGGAUGUAAUCAGUGUGGUUUCUGUUGCAUGUUUUUCAGUGAUCUAUUUCUUCAUGUACAUAUGUUCCACCAAAACUGGGUGGUUCUUGAAUUGAAAUAUUGAAUUGUGGGCUGAACUUCUGAACAAGGGAAAUUGAAAUGGUAUUUAAAUCAUUAGCUUGCU
rnacentral:misc_RNA from 1 species